GUGGGAUGUGUGACACGCUUGGCUCUCAUCGUGAUGCUCUGUGCUCCUGCUCUCGCACAGCUGGACCUCAACAGAUUAGAUGGCGACACUGUGUGCCCGACCAUGAGAAACGGACAAGAUGACCUUCCAGGGUUUGACCUGAUCACGCAGUUCCAGUUGGAUGUGAUUCCACUGAAAGGUGUGAGGAAGGUGGAGGGAUCUACUCCUACUCAGGUGGCUUACAGACUGGACAGAGAGGCCAACUUCCAGAUUCCAACCAGGUACCACACUUACUGUACAUAUAUAUACACACACACUUACAGAAAUAUAUCUCAGAAAGAAGUUC
rnacentral:lncRNA from 1 species